GGAUUCCGUCAUCCAGGAUAACUGACUAAGCCGCGUUCAACGAAUCCAAAACAAGGGUGUCCAGGCUUAAUCAGUUUCACAAAGACCAAGUCAGGAUGAACGGACAUGGAUUCAUCAAGCCAGGUGUCAUAUAAAUAAUACAGA